UACAGAGGGUGCAAGCGUUAAUCGGAAUUACUGGGCGUAAAGCGUGCGUAGACGGUUACAUAAGUCGGGUGUGAAAGCCCCAGGCUCAACCUGGGAAUUGCAUUCGAGACUGCGUAGCUAGGGUGCGGAAGAGGGAAGCGGAAUUUCCGGUGUAGCGGUGAAAUGCGUAGAUAUCGGAAGGAACACCAGUGGCGAAAGCGGCUUCCUGGUCCAGCACCGACGUUCAGGCACGAAAGCGUGGGGAGCAAACAGG
rnacentral:rRNA from 1 species